GUUUAUAAAUGGCAGCUACCACCCACAACCAGCCACAGACUGAGGACUGUGAUAGCCAUAGUUCCCCACCGUUAUAAAUACAACUAUGCGUAGAUCCACGUCUGAUGCAAAUCUGCUCGCUCCUUGCUCGCUCCUGUGCUGUGUGUAACGUAAGGUAUGGUGACUUUCAUUGGUAUUUGGGAAUCACACUUUGAUAUCACAGUAUUUUAAGUUGUACAUUAUUAAGAGAGUGUACAUGGCUCAAAGAUGUCACCUCCCCUGGGGAGGGGAUUACACUGUCUUUGGCUGUGUGAGAAGCAUGUCUUUUUUGGAGAUGAAGUGUGGCCUAAGGUGGGGAGUGUGGUUACUAGGUUGACAGAGGGUGGGUCAGGGCUAAGAUUUCCUAGGGAUCUGGCGAAACAUCGUGCCCAGCAGCCUCUGACAUUUCUAGAAGAGAUGAACAUUGGGUACAUGGAGGCAUACGUGUGAUCCCAGCUCGGGAGGGGAAGAUAAGAGGUCAACAGUUGAAGGUUGUCCUUGGUACUUGGUGAGUUCAAGGCCAGUCUAGGCUGUGUGAGGCCUUAACUGAAAUGACGAGAGAGUAACACCCCACAUCAUAGUGUUUGAAUCAGUGGACCAGAGGUAGAUUAGAACAGGAGGUAAAGGAAGGAGAGAUCCACUCUCUCCUCUUGGGCUGGUGUAUCUGCCUCUCUUCUUGCCCUUGGAAACCCCACUCCUGGUUCUCAGGCCUUCAAACCCAGACCAACACUGGCACUGCUCUGCCUUUUCCACCUCCCAACCCCGGACUGAGACUAAAUUAGCUCCCUGGAUCUCCAGUAAGUAUAUGCACUUCUCUGCCUGGUGUGGUCCCCACCCUCACUUCCCCUUACAUGUGUGUGUAUGCAUUAUAGAGACGAUGGACGAUAACUAUAUAUGGUUAUAUAGAGAUGAACAGGACCGUCCUCUGUAGAGAGAAUAUCUUAUGUGUGGAUGCAUCACCUGUAGAAUAGAAGGUAAGAUUCCAGGAGGCAAUGAGAAUUCUGGGAGAGAGCCAGGCACAGAAGUCAUCCGAGAAGAUGUGACAAGACAUGCAUGGUACCGGAGCACAGGCAACCAGCCACAUGACAGAAUGUGAGUCAAAAGCAUCGGAAGUCAGAGAGAUCUCACUUCUAGCUGAACAGCCCACCUGUCUACUUCCUUGCCUAGACAGUAUGUAGCGGUGACCCUGUGCACAAGAUGGAGUACGUGGCGUACCCAGCAGCCUGCAGCUGAUGCUGUUACCAGGGACCAGCACGAUGCACUUCAUCUGCAUAGUCACUAAUGAGAAGGCUGAGCAAACAUCCUGCAGGCCACGACUCCAGAAGACAGCGGUGCUCCUGGGACCAGUAGCCUCUAUCCAGGAAGUCUCCAGGGGAGAGAGAGAGGCCUGUGCCCAUUAUCAACUCUGCCGUCCAGUCUAGAAACUGUGGUUGGACAAGGUCAUCAUCUCCAUCCCCAGGGCCAUAUUUGUCACCCAACCACAGACAGAGCUGUCAUCACUUCACCAUCUGCUGAGCCUUCUUGUAAAGACACGGUAUCCGCAAGUGUCUACCCUCACAGUAGCUGCCUCUUUUCCCAUUGUUAUUCUCUGGGAGCCCACCCUCCAAACAGCGCAUGCCCAGCCUCCAAACAGCGCAUGCCCAGCCCAAUAAACACUGCAAAGCAUCCCUUUGUCUCUCAUCACUACGGCUGCUGCCAUAGCUCCGUGGGCGCCAGGCUAGCUGUUGAGGGGACUUACAGAGCCCUCCCUGGCCUGUCUCUCAACCUAGCAUCCAUGUUCAAUCAGCUUUCAACCGGUGAAUGGUUAGCAGGAACGUGCCAAGCAGCCCUGGGGAGGUGGCCUCGUUGGUAAAGUAGAAACACCUGGCACCUGCAGUCUGUCCCAGUCGAACACAAGGACCUGGUGUCUGUGUCACUUGUGAGAUGAUUCUACUCUAAAGAAGGUCAGCUGACUAGAGACACCACUGGCCACAUGGCUUCCCCAUUCACCCUACUCUGGGGCUCACUGCACUGCAAGAGUAGGCCUGGCCUGGAGGAACCGAAGACCCACAGUUAAGUCUAUUUCUACCUGGCAGCUUCAGGGACAGGAACAGUUUACCUUACUCCUGGCCCCACUGCCAACUGGCCCUACUCCCUUCAGCCCUGCCCAUCCUCUUCAUGCCCAAUCCUGUUGCCCUUAUCCUAGGGCUCCUCCUUGGUGCAUUUUUAGGAACAUUAGAGGCAUACCCUUCUAGUCUGCUGUUCCCACGCGAUAACCCCAAAGGCCUGGGGUGAUGACAGCGGUGAAGACACAAGCUAAUGGUCCAGUCUUGCUUGACACCAAAGCCCUUUCCAUAACCCCACGAGUUCAUGAAGAACUCAACAUUUGGUGUUAAGUGCCUGCUGUCAGCCCAUUGCUCUGAUGCUAUCCAAGAAGACCUGGGUCCUAUGCAGGCCCCGGGAUCCCAGGGCCUCCAGAGCUAUCUGGACCACUCAUCCUCUCUGCCUUCCUUCAAACCUUCGGAGAUAACGAUCUCCUCAGGGUGGGGUUCAGCAUCACAGUUCAGCUGUGCCAAACAUGUAAGUCCGGGGGCUGGGCACAGAGCAGACAGCUGGGAUCAGAGGUUCCCCUUAGGAUCAGAGCCAGCCUGACCCCAGUGCUCUCUCCUAAUAUGGGGCAUCAUGUGCAGCAGGUUGGGGGUAUUUCCUGCUGAGGCCUCCAGUCUCACCAGGGUUAACUCCUGAGUGGCUUCCAUGCUUCCUCCUAAUGCCAGAGCACACCGAGGGCCAAGCUGACGCGACAGUGUUCACCCUGAAGAAGAGGAAUGCGGAGAAGACUCCUCUCCUGGGCCCUGGGCCAGGCUUUGAGCAGCCAACUCAGAAAGCUCACGUGCAGUGUGCACCCCCUAUUCUGCUGAGCUGGUCUAAGCACUGGACUGGAGAGCACACUGGCUGUUGGGACUUCUGAGGCACAGCUAGUGGCGGAAUGGAGAGCCAACUUGCAGAGUAGAGAGCCUUCCCAAGCCUGCUGGACCAUGUUGCUGGUAAAAUAGUUGGCUCUUUGUCAUCCACGGGACAUUGGCUCCAGGGCCAUCAGUAAACCCACGCCCAUGGCUGCUCAAGUUUCUCACAUUAGAAUGGUAUAGUGUUGGCAUAGAACCAUGCCCAGACUUCCGCGUGCUUCAGAUUGUCUCUAGUGGGUCACGAAUUCCAUGCUGGCUAGUUUUAUGUCAACUUGACAAAAGCUAGAGAGCCAUC
rnacentral:sRNA from 1 species